rnacentral:rRNA from 1 species
AUUGAACGCUGGCGGCAGGCCUAACACAUGCAAGUCGAGCGAGCGGCGGACGGUUGAGUAAUGUAUGGGGACUGCCCGUUAGAGGGGGAUAACUACUGGAAACGGUAGCUAAUACCGCAUACUAUCGGAUAACCCAUAUGGUAUUAGCUAGUUGGUGAGGUAAUGGCUCACAAAGGCGACGAUCCCUAGCUGGUCUGAGAGGAUGAUCAGCCACACUGGGACUGAGACACGGCCCAGACUCCUACGGAGGCAGCAGUGGGGAAUAUGGCGCAAUGGGCGCAAGCCUGAUGGAGCCAUGCCGCGUGUAUGAAGAAGGCCCUAGGGUUGUAAAGUACUUUCAGUAGGGAGGCGUUACCGACAGAAGAAGCACCGGCUAACUCCGUGCCAGCAGCCGCGGUAAUUC